UGUAAGCGUAUACCAAAGUUGUUGCAGUUAAAACGCUCGUAGUCGGAAUUUGGCAGUUCCGGAUGUGUGCACGUCGUGUGCGCACUUCGCGGGGAUUGCUUUUGUGGUCUUGCGUAGGAUGAGGCACUUUUAUUAGUGAACGUCCUCACGCAACCACUUUUUACUCUGAGAAAAUCAGAGUGCUCAAAGCAGGCAUUUGCCGUGAAUGUAUUAGCAUGGAAUAAUAGAAUAGGACUUGGUUCUAUUUUGUUGGUUUGUUGGGACUGAGUAAUGAUUAAGAGGGACAGUUGGGGGCAUUUGUAUUUCGGUGCUAGAGGUGAAAUUCUUAGAUUACCGAAAGACAAACUGCUGCGAAAGCGUCUGCCAAGGAUGUUUUCAUUGA
rnacentral:rRNA from 1 species